CCCCACACCCUUGCCCUUUCCCUUUCCCUUUCCCCGCCAUUAACCUGACGCGUGCUGCCGCGGCCGCAGACUCGCAGUCGAGAGGUCGACGGCGACUCCGUCCUCGGCCCACGGGGAAAAGAAAAAAAGUCAUUCCCUUCCCUGCUCCAGCUCGCCCGAAAAAGCUCCCGUUUUGCAGGCCCCGUGCUCGCCAUUACGCCCUGCCCCGAUUCAAAGCCGUCAUUGCCUUCUUGAGCUCGUCGUCUCGUCGCGCAUAUCACACAUCCUCCCCCGCCCGCCCCCGCUGCUCCCUGCCUCCCUCUCGUGCUUCUCCCGCCCAAGCCCAAGCACGCACGCAUCCUCCUCCUCACGCCUCGCUGUAAACCAACCAGCCAGCCAACCCUUUUGAGGCUUGGAAGCACCUGCGUGUCCGCGCGCUGCCUCCCACGCCCCCCUCCCUCCCCCGGCCGGAAAGCUCCAACCGAGGAUUUUUGUUUGUACGCACCCGCUUGGCCCUUCCUGUGGUCACAUCGCCCCCCGCUCCCGCGUCAAAAAUUUGGGAUCAGGAUCAGUUCCCCGGCGUCCCGUCCCCUCCUCAUGUGCCCGCGCCAGUGAGCCCGAAAAGGACCCUGCCGGGACGUGCGCGCCUAUACCCUGCCUGGCUGCUGGCUGCUGGCUGCUGGCUGCUUGCCGAUUCUAUCUUGGCCGACCUCUCCCUUCCCGUCCCAAUUCUGAUUGCCGGCGAGUUCCAAUCUCGGUGCCGCCUUCAUACAUGCGCCGGGGAAUGCAGGUUCCGGAGGCACCCGCCCGCUAAUCUCGACACACGGUUUCAAGGCUUGGGACUUGGAGCUCCUCGAGUUUCUUGUUCCUACUAGGGGUGGAGUGGAGGAGCGUGAAACUGAAGCUGGGCGCCGAGAAUGGAGAGCCGAGGGCGGCGGACGCGGAGCCCCGAGCGACAGAGGCCGGCGGCGCCGCGGAAGGUGCCGGUGGUGUACUACCUCACCCGGAGCCGCCACCUCGAGCACCCGCACUUCGUCGAGGUGCCGCUCGCCUCGCCGGAGGGGCUCUAUCUCAGAGAUGUGAUUAAUCACCUCAACAUGGUGCGCGGCAAGGGCAUGGCCGCGAUGUACUCGUGGUCCUGCAAGAGGAGCUACAAGAACGGGUUCGUGUGGCACGACCUUUCGGAGGAUGACCUCGUCCUCCCGGCAACCGACGGUGAGUACGUGCUCAAGGGCUCCGAGCUCGUGGACCAAUCCCCUUCAGGUCCAUUUUAUCCUGUCAGUAACGGCAACCAGAAGCAACAGAGCAGACCGAAAGAGGGUGCACGGCAGCCAUUGCCAAGAGAUCAUUCCUACCCAUCCUCUCCUCCUAGCGUGAUAGUUAGAGAAGCCAGGCCCCGACGGUCACCGUCUGUGCCUUCACAAGAUGAGGAUGACACCCCCUCUCCGUGCAGGGAUCGCUCCUUGGAGACCAUGUCACAGCAGUCUGAGGAGCCCCAGAGGAAUGAGAGGACUCAACUGCCAGCCAGCGGGUCUGCGAGCCCAGUGGAGUUCAGAGUUUACAAGCCCACCGGUUGCAUGGAUGCUGCAACUCAGACUGAUGAUCUCGGCAGAAGAUCGGGUCGCAGAGCACCCGAGAUACGCAAGAAGAGCCUGAGCACAGAUCAUGAUGCUGUUGUUCGUGAAAUUACAGAGUACCGGCAAAGCCAUCCUCGCCGGUCAGCAGAUCUCCAAGGGAUCUCCAGGGAACUCCUGCACCAAUGUAUUACUCCAUUGAGCAUACCAUCGACCCGUGCCAAGUCUGAGAGUUUGGAGUCGUUGAUACGAGCGGAUAAUUUGACGAACAGCUUUAGGAUUCUUGAAGAGGAGGAUAUUGUUGUGCCCACCUGCCCGAAGCUAAAGCCGACAAAUGUACUGAUGCAGCUCAUCACUUGUGGCUCACUUUCGGUGAAAGAUCGUGAAAAUGCCGGAAUCGUUCAGACAUACAAGCCAAGGUUCCCAAACCUGAAGUUCCCCUCGCCGUUAAUUUCCCGCACCAUGAUGAUGGGUGAGCUUGAUUACCUGUCAGAAAAUCCCAGGUUAAUGGGAAUGAGGUUGGAAGAAAAGGAAUACUUCAGUGGGAGCCUUAUUGAGACUAAGAUGCAAAGAGAUGUUCCAGCUGAGAGGUAUUCAGCGCUUAAACGGUCUUCUUCCUACAAUGCAGAAAGGGCUGGCGACGCUCUCGAUUGCACAAGACGUGAAGAGGAUAAAACCGACAACGCAUCAUCGCGCACGAGGUGCCUCCCCCGGACGCCAAUCCUGUCAUCCUUCCUGCACCCGAAGGGCGACUCCUCGUUCAAGUCUCCGGUCUCGGACUGCCGGCGGAGCUCCUCGGCCCGGCAGGACUGCGACGAAGUGGCCUCUGGGAACGGGAGCAAGAGGUUCGCUGACGCCUCGGUCACAUCGGCGACCACGAGAGCGGACUCGUUCAGGAAGGAGGAGAAGCUCGUCAAGAUCGAGGAAAGUUAAGUGCCGCCCGUGGCCUUUCUUACCUGAACCUACUGUGAACUCUUUGUCAGUGCUCGGCUGUCGUCCGGAGCCCGCGUCGUGAUCCACUACACCGUCCCUUGCAAUGACAGUGACGAAGGCUCUGAACGCUCGGAGGAGUGACAAUGCUGCAGGGAUCCGGCUGCUGCUUUGGCAAAUUAGUUUGGGUUUACAUUGCUUGAAACAUGCAUUCUCAGCUAUAUGGCCCAUUUUUCUUCCCGGGUUUUUACUUUCUUCCUUAGAAAUUUUAGGCCCUCUUAUCAUGUAUAAGUGCCUAUUAUUAUAAUGUAUCAUUUAUGCGUUUCGCAAAAAAAAAAUGUAUCGUUUAUGUAUUUUUUCUGCUGUGGUUUCAUGAAAUUUUCUUGUAUUGGUCAGUGAAUAGAUGAUAGAAGUGUGGUGGAAUGACAAUUAUUAAUCAAGACCGUUUGCUCC